GACGUAGGGGGCAAGCGUUGUUCGGAAUUAUUGGGCGUAAAGCGCUCGUAGGCGGGACAGGAAGUUCGUGUUGAAAGACCUCGGCUCAACUGAGGGACCGGCUCGAAUACUCUUGUUCUUGAGGCAAUCAGAGGGUGAUGGAAUUCCCGGUGUAGCGGUGAAAUGCGCAGAUAUCAGGAGGAACACCGGUGGCGAAGGCGGUUCUCUGGGCCUAAUCUGACGCUGAGGAGCGAAAGCGUGGGGAGCAAACAGG
rnacentral:rRNA from 1 species